rnacentral:rRNA from 1 species
AGCGAACGCUGGCGGCAGGCCUAACACAUGCAAGUCGAACGGAUCCUUCGGGAUUAGUGGCGGACGGGUGAGUAACACGUGGGAACGUGCCCUUUGGUUCGGAACAACUCAGGGAAACUUGAGCUAAUACCGGAUGUGCCCUUCGGGGGAAAGAUUUAUCGCCAUUGGAGCGGCCCGCGUAGGAUUAGCUAGUUGGUGGGGUGAAGGCCCACCAAGGCUACGAUCCUUAGCUGGUCUGAGAGGAUGAUCAGCCACAUUGGGACUGAUACACGGCCCAAACUCCUACGGGAGGCAGCAGUGGGGAAUCUUGCGCAAUGGGCGAAAGCCUGACGCAGCCAUGCCGCGUGAAUGAUGAAGGUCUUAGGAUUGUAAAAUUCUUUCACCGAGGACGAUAAUGACGGUACUCGGAGAAGAAGCCCCGGCUAACUUCGUGCCAGCAGCCGCCGUAAAAC